AAAGAAGAGUUUUCUAACAACUAGAUCUAAUUGAAAUAGAAUGUCCUCCCCUCCCCCCCCCCCCCCAGAGUGAGUUCUUAGUUAUCAGAGUAUGGACAGAAUUCAUGCACUAGGGAAGAGUUAAAUGGGAUGAGGUAUCAUAGAGAUAUCCAGGGGUGAUAUGCUAUGAUUCUAGAAAUUACUCACAUAACACUUAUGCACCAGCACAGCCUUGAAUUAUUAUAACUAAUUGUAAAUUUGGAUUCUCUUCUCCUUUUUCCUUACUAGUUCACUCAUGGGGGCUAACUUAGUGUUUUGCACUUGAGCACUUGACAAAUGUCUACCAAAUAAAUGAAUGGUAGACACUCAAAUAUUUUUGAUGAUGGUGAUGAUAUGCUCAAUAAAAAUGACUAGAUUAAUAAAGAAGAAUGUUAAGUAUCAGCAAUUUUUUUUCUCAUACUAUUUAUUAACAAAAGCAAUUCUUCCUGAUUUGGUAAUAUUUCUCUUUAGCAUUCUUUACAUAUGAGUUGAACACAAUAUGCUGAACAGCCUUGAGGCAUCUCCCAGUUUGAGAAAGAGCAAUAUAGUUUACAUUUUACAAAGGAUGCUCACAUCCAUUAUUUAUUUAUAAUGCUCAAUAUAACUCAUAUAACUCAAUGAAGCUGACAUUUUCCAAAUGAGGAAACAGGGCCCAGAGAUAGAAAGGGACUUGCUCAAGGACACAAAGCCAGUAAGUACAGAAACUGAACCAAGGAUAAGGUCCAUUAAUUCUAACAUGCACUCUCUUUCCACUAUAUGUCAAAUGCCUCUGACAAAGGCCCCAUGUGAAAAAAAGAGUUACAUGCUUUUAUUUGGCUGAUUUGGUCAGACCUACCUACUCCUCAUUUUUCCCAUGUGCCUGUCUUCCUAGAAUCCUGCACUCAAUAAACCAAUUGUUCACAGAAGAUAUGGUUCUGGGUUUUGCCUGGAUGCUGAGUUGAUGGUGAUGCUAUGUGAAUAUGACCACAACAUAACUUGUCUUUAUAAAUAUCCAUUCCUUGCAGGCUUGUGAAACUACUCACUUGAAGUCUGAGUCCAUUUGGCAGGAAGACAGGGACAGGGCAGCUGUAAGUUGGCACAGUUACCCUAGGCUAGUCCAUCGCAAGCCACCUCACUUAAAGGAGGACUGGAAGCUGGUGCUGUAGUUUAAUACCAGGACUGCUGGCAGUUCCCACCUUGUGACCUGGGAUUGCAAGGUGAUCUGUGAAGGGAAGCUUUGAAAUAUCAUCAGACAUCCUCUGAGGGUCCUAGUCAUGGUAGUUUACCACAUGGUAUUUGGACAAGUUAGAGGGAGAACAAGUAAUGGAAACACCCUUCUUCAGCAAAGCUUCUUGGAAACAGAAUUGGGAUAAGCAGAUGGUGAAUGUCACACUGGAUCAGCUGCAAUGGAGAGACACCAUGGGAGAGUCUCAAUGGACCCUCUGUUGUCCACCCUUGGCAUUAGGUAGUGACUCAGAUCUGACUUAGGCUGCUUUUAUGUAGCAACUACUGAACACGGCUAUUGCUUUUGAUGAAAAGAGCCCUGUGGAUUGUUUUUGAUCUGCAUAUUAACAAAGAAGAAAAAGACAGCCAGGUUAUUUCUUAGGAGCAGCAAGAAAGAUUUUCCCUUAAAGAUGUGCAAGACACAUCUCUGCUGGAACGCGCGCGCACACACACACACACACACACAAUGAAACAAAAUGAAACAAAACAAAAUAAAACAAAUGCAAAACCCUUUCA